CAGGAGUUCAAGACCAACCUGGGCAACAUAGUGAGACCCUGACUCUACCAAAGGGGAAAAAAAAAUAAAGAAAAAAAUAAUAAUUAAAAAAAAACUCUUGUUUUGCUUAUUCUGUUAAAAAAAAAAAAAAAAAGGGAGGCAGUGGUCAAAUAAUUUGGUAAACCUCACAUCCUGUACUGCAUCUUAAAGAUUCACAUGCCUGUUAAUAUAUAAAGGAUUUUUGGGUGUACUUCAAUCCCUUCUCUUUCUCUUAUUCUCUCUCUGCCUGAUUCCAAUUUAGGACCCUUCAUCUGAUACCUGCAGGUGAGGGAUGGGUCACAGCAGCUGUAACACCAUAUAAAUGACAGCCCCACAGUUCUCUUGCUCACUUAUUUCUUAGGUUCAUCUAUUGGAGAUGGGACCCUAUGGGAACUGAAUAGCUCAGCUUCAAAAUGCAUUUCAAAACUUUUUCCCCCCUUUUUCUCUUUUCUCUCCAGUCUCAAGAUGUAACCUUGAAGCCUACUGCAGAAACCCUUUUUUCCUCCUUAGUAUUAGGACGUAGCCUUGAAAUGUACUUUAUUUGAAACACCGCGUCUCUCCCUUUCUUACCAUACACUCCCUUACACCAUGCACAUUUAUCUAAUUGUACUUGGAUCUAAUUAUGUGCUUACUUAGAAGUUCCAGGGUCUAAUCUUGACAUAAACCAGACAUGGAGGCCCAGCUGCAAAAUGCCAGAGAUUACCUCAAGGCUGUUAGUCUACAACCCGGCCAUCGUUCAGAUGACAUCAGAUCACCCUGACAGUCACCAGGGAAACAAGAGACACAGACCUUGAACUCAGCACCACUCCUGCAUACUUCCCAUUCCAAGUUCCCCUUUUUAAGUCCCUCUCCCUAGCCUAAAGUUGGGAAUGGUCUUUUAAAGGCAUGAGCCUGGCUAUUCCCCAACUUCUAGCAUUUGAAUAAAGUUGCUUUCCUUUCAC
rnacentral:lncRNA from 1 species